rnacentral:rRNA from 1 species
CAAUAGCGUAUAUUAAAGUUGUUGCAGUUAAAAAGCUCGUAGUUGGAUUUCUGGUCGGAAGCUCCUGUCCUCUGAUGAGCGUACAAGUGCGUCCUACCAUCCUUCUGUUAACCUUUAAGGCUUUCGCGGCUUUCUAGGGGCUCAGAUAUUUUACCUUGGGAAAAUUAGAGUGUUUCAGGCAGGCUAGCGCCGGAAUACAUUAGCAUGGAAUAAUGGAAUAGGACUUUUGCCUCUUCUGUUGGUCAUGAGGCUCGAGUAAUGAUUAAUAGGGAUAGUUGGGGGCAUUAGUACUUAACUGUCAGAGGUGAAAUUCUCGGAUUUGUUAAAGACUAACUUAUGCGAAAGCAUUUGCCAAGGAUGUUUNCAUUAA